GCCUCUGCCUCUGCCUCUGCCUCUGCCUCUGCCUCUGCCUCUGCCUGCAGACUAUUGGGAUGAAAGGCCUACACUACCACCUCCUGGCUUAUUUCAACUCUACAUAAGAGGCCAAGAACUGGAAAACAUCUGACCCAGGCCCCAACCGCUUAUAACACACAGGAAGCCCCUCCAGACUUCUCAACCACAUAUGACCCUGCAUGGUGGCCCUCGCCCUCGCCCCAGGGUGCAGGCCCUCGCAUGGGGAUCACUUGCGCCCCAGUUCGACACUGAACAUUAUGUACCUGCUUUAACCUUUGACACCCCAGCCGUCCCAGAGAUGUGGAGGUUCUGUCUUCUCCAGAGCUCCUGACAAAGGACAUCAAAACACCGGCAGAGAGGAGGUCGCUUGUGCCCUGGAAAGUCUCCGAAGCAAGAGGAAUGGCUAAUGAAACCUCCUCUCCGCAGAGUAAUUCAGCAAUUAUCUUCUGGUGCUCAGCGUGAGCCAACACACCAUCCUAAAGAACAGCUCAUCCCACAGGCAUGCACACGGCUGUCUGCUCCUCCCAGGCCCUGGGGCUACAAGUACAGCGGCCAGCUGGAAAGGCAAGGCAGCCUGGCUGGAAGAGCUAGGCAGUGCUGGAGUGGUGAACCCAGAUGCCUUCAGUCCCAGGGACGGGAAGGGGUGUGGAGCAGGGGAAAGCGGCAGGGCUCAGGCUACAAACAGGCUGACUGUUCAUGACUCCCUGGUCACUCAGGGCUACCCAGGUCUGUGUCUAGGGACCUCGAAGGGAGACAACUAGCAACGUCAUUCAGGUGGGAAAAGGGCAGUUUCAGGAAAGACCUAAGCACUCAAAGGCCAGCCAGUGGGCAUGGAUGGGCAGCCUGAGGCCCUACUGCUCAGGAAAGGUCUGUGCAUCCUAAGUAGUUAGACGGGAACUUCAUCUCGGUGUAGCUUCUGCAGGUGUGAUUCACAGCUGGAAGACACCAGACUGCACGGCAUCCACAGAAGUCUCUUCUCUGAAAGGGACUCAUGCUACUGAUGUUGAUUUGAAUUGGAUAGCUUGGAGUAACUCGAUGCCACAGCUAAAUGUUCCAAGCAUGAAUCACCCUUCAGCAACACCUACUCACGCCCCAGAAGCCAAGGUUAAGCUCACCAGUAGCCCUGGCUUUGACAGAGGCAGAGCUGUGACAUGAACGCCGUGGAGGGUUUGUUUACUGGAGCCUCGCCUGUGUAGUCCUCGAUUACCUAGCCCGAGUACUCUCAGCUGGGCCUGCUGUCCAUGCUGUGCCCUAAGCUGAUGGAACCAUUCUCCCUCGGGACCACACACCACCACUGUUCUGACCUCCCAG
rnacentral:lncRNA from 1 species